UCUUAUGGAUGAACAAAGAAAAUUGUUUCUUGAGAUGGAAUCUGUUUCUCAUGAAAAUGCUGUGAU
rnacentral:pre_miRNA from 1 species